UAAGUUUGUUAAUAAUGUUUCGCUUAAUGACUUUCCAUAAGUACGUCAUACUAUAAUUUUUUUACAACAAUCUUGAUUGAUGAAUUUUUUGACACGAUAUGGAAAAGUGAAUUUCUAAUCAAUACUAUGUGAACACAGGAUAACCGGUAACAUGCAUAGGACAUCCAUUAAACGUCUGGGCAUCCGCAGGGCGUCUUUAAACGUCCAGUGCCCACUGGAUGCAAUAUAUUACAUUGUACAAUUGAAAAUUCUCUAUGUAAGGAUGUUACAAGUUGUUCUGCAGGAGUUCACAUACUUAUACAGGUAAAAGAAAAACAACAUUAAUUGCAUUAUUAAAAAAAAAGAAAAAUUAAAUAAAAAAAGCUCAUACUAAUCAACAGGUUCAAACACAAAACUUUGAAGAUGAAGUUUAUGAAUCAGUUGGACAUGACUUUAAUCAAGAAAAUUCAUCUGAAAAUAAUAAGGAUGUAAAUGAAAUAUUCUUAAAAGACAGCUUCAAUAAUAUCAAACUAAACACUUUUCCAUUUAUUAUCAUUAAACAGAAUUAAAUAAAGAUCACAAUUAUCAUAAAGAUAGCACUCUUAAAUUCAACAUAUCUCUUGUUGUUACAUUUGCAAUUGUAUCUGCUUUCCUUCAAUAUUUGAUCAAAUCUAAUUACUUGACUCCAAAAAUAGCUAAUUUAUAAUGCGAUCCUAAAAUAAUUUGGAGAGGCAGAUAGGAGGUUAUGGUUAAAGUAUUAAUUAUUAAAGUACUAAAUAAAGGCAUAUCUAAAGAUGGAAAAAAAGACCCUUAUCUAAUUUACAUUCAAGAUUCAGUUAUUAAAACAUUUUGUCGAAGAAUAAAAAACAUAAGUUUUAAUUCAAAACCAGAUGAAAGCUAUUUGACCCAUUGCUCACCUUCAAAGGGUCCAAACAAACCAGUUAUAAAAGCUGCAUUCGGUCUUUAUAACUGAAUGGUUGCUAGAGGAACCGAUCAUGCUAUAAUGGUGAUUGGAUCAGAAUCCACAAAUCAAAGGUCUUAGUUUAUUUAAACAGCCAAACUUAAGUAUGCUGUAAGAAAUUCUAUUCAAAAUGAGGCAUUUCAUGUUCAUCUGAGUCUCUUCUAAUAUCUCUUCUUGCAAGCUCAUCAAAAAAAAUAGAACUUUUGUAGUCAAGAUGAAUAUGAAAGUUAGAGAAGAUUCAGAGCAAAGUGAUGUAAGUGCAAGAAACCGAAAAAAAAUUACACUUAACUUUUAUGCUGUGGCUCUCCUUAAACUUAUUGAUUGUUUACAUUAUUAGUAAUGAACAAAUUUUGCAGCCGAAUUUUACAUGCAAUAUGGCAAAAAAAGAUUUAAAAAAGUAAUAGAUUCUUCUAUGGAAGUACCUUACUACCCUCUUCACACAAAAUUUUGUGAAAGAGUUGCUAAAAAAAACUGUUUAGCUUGAUGGUCAAGCUUGAUUUUUAUAAAAAUUUUAUUUUUCAUCAAAA